rnacentral:rRNA from 1 species
GAUGAACGCUGGCGGCGUGCCUAAUACAUGCAAGUCGAGCGAACGGACGAGAAGCUUGCUUCUCUGAUGUUAGCGGCGGACGGGUGAGUAACACGUGGAUAACCUACCUAUAAGACUGGGAUAACUUCGGGAAACCGGAGCUAAUACCGGAUAAUAUUUUGAACCGCAUGGUUCAAAAGUGAAAGACGGUCUUGCUGUCACUUAUAGAUGGAUCCGCGCUGCAUUAGCUAGUUGGUAAGGUAACGGCUUACCAAGGCAACGAUGCAUAGCCGACCUGAGAGGGUGAUCGGCCACACUGCAACUGCGACACGGUCCAGACUCCUACGGGAGGCAGCAGUAGGGAAUCUUCCGCAAUGGACGAAAGCCUGACGGAGCAACGCCGCGUGAGUGAUGAAGGUCUUCGGAUCGUAAAACUCUGUUAUUAGGGAAGAACAUAUGUGUAAGUAACUGUGCACAUCUUGACGGUACCUAAUCAGAAAGCCACGGCUAACUACGAG